ACUCCUACGGGAGGCAGCAGUGGGGAAUUUUCCGCAAUGGGCGCAAGCCUGACGGAGCAACGCCGCGUGAGGGAUGAAGGCCUCUGGGCUGUAAACCUCUUUUAUCAAGGAAGAAGAUCUGACGGUACUUGAUGAAUAAGCCACGGCUAAUUCCGUGCCAGCAGCCGCGGUAAUAC
rnacentral:rRNA from 1 species